CCUACGGGUGGCUGCAGUAGGGAAUAUUGCUCAAUGGGGGAAACCCUGAAGCAGCAACGCCGCGUGGAGGAUGAGGGUUUUCGGAUUGUAAACUCCUUUUGUUAGAGAAGAUAAUGACGGUAUCAAACGCAUAAGAACCGGCUAACUCGGUGCCAGCAGCCGCGGUAAUAUGGAGGGUGCAAGCGUUACUCGGAAUCACUGAGCGUAAAGAGCGCGUAGGCGGGAUAGCAAGUCAGAUGUGAAAUACUAUGGCGUAACCAUAGAACUGCAUUUGAAACUGUUAUUCUAGAGUAUGGGAGAGGUAGGUGGAAUUCUUGGUGUAGGGGUAAAAUGCGUAGAGAUCAAGAAGAAUACUCAUUGCGAAGGCGACCUGCUAGAGCAUAACUGACGCUGAUGCGCGAAAGCGUGGGGAGCAAACAGGAUUAGAUACCCGUGUAGUC
rnacentral:rRNA from 1 species